rnacentral:lncRNA from 1 species
CACAUCUCAAGGUUAACCAUUGGUUGCUCUGGGUACUCAGUGGCGUAGAAGACGUGCCACUUCUGUCCAGGUCUUGCUGGAUCUCCAAUCACAUAAGCAUUACCACCAGAUUUCAGGCCGCCAAAGUAGCGGUUAAGUGCAGCAACUUCCUCAGAGAAGCUCCUGUGGGGGGCUGGCUGUGCGCCAGGAAAGAUGAACGUCCCACGGGAGUACUUCACAGCAGCAAGUGGCAUAGACAGCUCUUCAGCAAGCUCAAGGAUUCUUGGAAUGGUGAGCAGGAGCUUGGUAGUGCCACAGGUCUUGAUGACAAUCUUCAGAGGAUAGAUAAACAAGCUUGACUCAGAAAGGACAUAUGAGUCGAAAUCCUUGUUGGAGAGCUCAGACACAAUUGUGCACCGUGCAAGAUCCAGAACAGAGUCAAUCUGGGCCCUGGAGAGGGCACGCAAACCACGCCCAUGAGGGUCCACAAAGACAGGUGCCUCAGAGAAUGUGAUCUCAAGGCGCUUCUCAUAGCCCUCAAACCCGAUAGCUGAGACCGGGGAAGCAUCAGCAGCAGAAAGAACAGCCAUUGGAGCAG